AAAACUUUCAACAACGGAUCUCUUGGUUCUCGCAUCG
rnacentral:rRNA from 1 species